UUCAGCCUGAUGGUCUGAUCAACCGUCAGAGCUUGAACAUAUUGAGCCUGUGUGAGUUAAGAAAUGUAGGUAUCCGGGACCGAGGUGUACUUCGCCUUUUAAGCAAGUCAUAAAUUCAUAUCAUUCGUCUGAUCCAUCGUCAGAUUGUGCAGAGCUAUGACUCAAUGCCUUCGACUUCUUAUGGACAGCGAAACAAUUAUGUACAGGGGUUAUAUUCCCAAAUUUAGUUUGUAAGUUACGGGUUACCAUACCCAUUUACAGGGGUUACAAUCCCCAUUAGUCACUGAGUGCUCAAGGACGCAUUUCCCUUGUUUCGGCCUCAGUGCUUUUCGGCCUCCCUCACAGAGCCCAUUUUGUGUUCCUACACGAUAUCCAAUAUCUGAGAUCAACAGGAUGAAUUUCAUUUCAUUAAUAUAGCAAAGACAUAAAUAGUUGUAAGCAUACAGGUACUUUAAAUUUAAGCUUUGAAUUUAAUAUUUUUUUAUUUAUUAAAUGAUUUUAAGGAUUUAUUUUAAAUAGGGUAAAGUAAGGUAAUUUCGUGACACAGGUAAUUUCGUGACAUUUUUUAUGACGUUUGUAACGAAAAUACCAUCGGUUUUUUGGAGCUGCAUUUUGGUCUGGUAGUUUCAGCGUUCUCCGCUAAAUAGUGUGGUAUGUAUCGUUCGUGUCUUGGAAUGCGUCAACGUCACAAAACAAAAGUUUUCGUAAAAGUGAGCAAAGUUUCGUUAAAUUUGAGUACUCUUUUGCAGGUUUAACUUCGAAUAUUCAUAAAAGGAUCCAUGUACAUGGUAUGUUAGCAUUUAAUACACAGUUUUGUAGAGAAUAUAAACCUCUUACAGUGUAAAUAAUUUUAUGAUUUUGCACGUCUGCAUACAGUUGUUAUUGCUUAUGUUGUUCAUGGCGUUUCUUAGCAUUUUUGUCCUUGCUAAAGAUAAAUUUUCAAAGCCUUUAAUAUGGAUUGAUCUUGUAAGUUUUCUAAGCUUGUUAGAACAAAAUUAUUAUGAGAGUUUGUGUUGUAAAUUAAGUUUACAAUAACUUAGUUUCACUUAGAAAGCUAAUUAUAGUGUGUCACGAAAUUACCUAUAUCACGAAAUUACCUAUAUCACGAAAUUACCUGUAUCACGAAAUUAUCUAUAGGCUAACACAAAAAUACAUUGGCUAUUUUUUUUAUUUUUCAGUUGAAUGAUGAAUAAAUCAAGAAGUAAAUACAGAAAAUAUGACUCCAGACAGUUAAUUGCAGCUGCUGAAUUAGUUAAACAACAAAAUUGUUCACUUUAUAAAGCCUCCAAGGAAAUGGGUGUGCCAUGGAGUUAACUAAGAGACUAUCUAAAAAAUAUCCCCUGUGAAAACAGAAAUUAACCUCUGCCAAAACUAGGAAGACCAUUCGCUCUCACUUCAAACCUAGAAAUUAGUCUGUAUAAUUACAUCAUAGAGAUGCAAGAGUUAGGAUUUGGUUUAACUGUUUCUACAGAAAGGAAAGUAGCACAUGAACUCGCAAGAAGUGCCGGCCGUGAAAAUUUAUUAAAUUCAGACAGUGAAAGUGCUAGCAAAUGGUGGUGGACAAAUUUCAAGAGUAGGUACAACCUCUCAUUAAGAGCUCCAGAAAACCUUGCAGCAUACAGGGCUUCUAUGGCAAAUGAAGAAAUCAUUUGGGAUUUUUGUAUUAAAUUAGAGGAAUUACUGGACCGAUUGGAUAUCAAAGAAGCACCUGAUAGGCUAUGGAACUGUGACUAAACAGGUCUUUCGUAUGUCGUGAAAGCAAACAAAGUUGUAACAGCAGUGGGAAAGCGAUAUGUUUAUAAGAGAGUUUAUGCAGACAGGGGAGAAUCACAUACACUUUUGGGAUGUGUGUGCGCAAAUGGGACAUGGAUUCCGCCUAUGAUUAUUUUCAAAGGUUUCAGGUGGAACGAUAACCUAAAGAGAGAUUGUUUGCCUAAUGCAAUAGUGAAGUUGUCUCCAAAAGGGUCGAUUAACAGUGAUCUGUUCUUUGAAUGGUUCCAGUUCUUUGUAGCCUCCAUUCCUCCUGCUCGACCAGUCAUCCUCUUCAUGGAUUCACACGCAUCGCAUAUUAACCCUGAAGUUAUUUCGUUUGCGAAAGAAAAUCAAAUUUUCUUAUUUACUUUCCCAGCCCAUACAACUCAUUUGUUGCAACCGUUAGAUGUAGGAGUUUACAAAUCCCUAAAAUCACAUUGGGGUCAACGUCUUAACUCCUACAUGAAGGAAAAUCCAACGGAAAAACCAAAUAGAACAAAUUUUCAUACGAUUAUGAAUACUGCCUUUAUUGAGAGCUUGUGCACUAAGAAAAUUACAAAUUCUUUCAAGAAAACGGGAAUUUAUCCAUUCAACAAGUGUGCUAUUCCUAAGGAAGCUUUUGAACCCUCCAAACUAACGAACAAGCCUCUACCUCAAGAACAGCGGGAAAAAUAUCAGAUAUUGGUAGCUGACAAGAUCUUGGUCCUGCCAUCAAUGUCAAGAGACACCCUCAUUAACAAACGAAGAGAAAGCGAGACUCAAGUGCAAGAUGCCUUACUCCAGUAGGAGAAAUUACCAUCUUGGGGUCAAUAAAAUACGCAUCAUUGAGACCUACCACUUCAACUUUAGAUGCUGCCCUACCAACAUCGAAUCCUGUAAUAUCAUCGAAGGAUAUCUUCAACCACAAAGGCUACCCCAUCAACUUCCAAGGCUACCCCAUCAACUUCCAAGGCUACCCCAUCAACUUCCAAGGCUACCCCAUCAACUUCCAAGGCUACCCCAUCAACUUCCAAGGCUACCCCAUCAACUUCCAAGGCUACCCCAUCAACUUCCAAGGCUACCCCAUCAACUUCCAAGGCUACCCCAUCAACUUCCAAGGCAACCCCAUCAACUUCCAAGGCUACCCCAUCAACUUCCAAGGCUACCCCAUCAACUUCCAAGGCUACCCCAUCAACUUCCAAGGCUACCCCAUCAACUUCCAAGGCUGUCCCAUCAACUUCCAAGGCUGUCCCAUCAACUUCCAAGGCUGUCCCAUCAACUACCAAGGCUGUUCCAUCAACUUCCAAGAUUGUCCCAUCAACUUCAAAAGCUUUGACACCAACAUUAGAACCGUCCAUAUCUGGUCCAGAACUUCGCGAAUGCAAGACAAAAUCAAAGGAAGUCCAAAUUCUUGAUGAAGAUUGGAUCUGUGGUAUGUGCGGGAACAGUUAUUUCAUAAACGUUCAAAUAAGAAAUGGCGCUAAAUGUGUACAAUGCUGUUAUUGCUUGAUGCCUUAUCAUGAAGAGUGCCAACCUGCUGAUUCUGGGGAACUAUUUUUCAUGUGUGAUAAUUGUGCUAAUGCUGAAAGUGAGUUUACCGAGGUAAGCAGCUAAAUAAACUAGACUAAACCUAAUUUUUCGAAGGUUAUUUGAACAUUUUUUAUGAUGAAAUGAAGAAAACAGCAAUUAGAAUGCAUGUUACAAGUUAAAAUUAUAUUAUUUGUUAUUAUAGUUGAUAUUUGUUUGAAAAUAUUUGUAUUGUUAUUGUAUCACGAAAUUGCCUAACCCCUAUCACGAAAUUAGAUACCCAUAUCACGAAAUUACCUGUCAAACUAUUUAAAAUUUGAAAUUAAAUUUUGUGUUGAAAAAAUGUAUAUAAUGGUAAGUAUAUUACUUAUAAUGUUAGUAUUACACAAAUGUUAAACAAUUUUGGCCAAAUACGACAAUAAUUGUUGAAUAAAACAAUAUUUAUUAGCGAAAAAUUAAUUUUAUCACGAAAUUACCUUACUUUACCCUAAUUCAAAUCAAGUUUAAAUGGACUAUAUUUAAUUAUUAAUCUUGUCUUGGACUUAUAAAGUGUUACAGUCAAAGGUCAUGGAAUUAAUUCUGCUUUAUUACAAGUAGUAGGGCAACAGGCAUUUUUUUCUUUUUUUCUUUUUGCUCAAUAAUAAUAAUAUAAUCAAUCAUAUUAAAAUACGUAUUCCCCAGAAAUUAAGCAGCUACGAGGUGACUAGUCUCAUUUUAAUAUUUAAGGUAAUCACCAAGAAGAGUGAAAUACUUUCAACCCCCAACGAGAGGUCCACUUAAUUAAUUUGGGUAUGUUUGAGCAUCCCGUUUCUAGACUAGCACAAGCUAGGUAAUUUAAGAUAUUUUAAUUUUUAAUUUUUACAUACGUAAGUUCAGUCUUUAACAAGCUACUUGACGUAAAUAGUUUUAAUUUUUUUUACUCAGAAAUACCUCUCUGAUAUUUUUUGAAUCUUCAUGAAUCUUGUUCCACGAUUUCAUAUAUUUAAUUUCUGAUUACGUUCCUUUUUUUUAAUAACCAUAAUUCGUAAAGUAAGCAAGAAUAUGUUUGUAGUGUUUUUUUGUACUGAUUUUGCGUUAAUACUUGUACAUGUUUAUUUCUUUAUUUUCCCUUGCACGUAAAUGUGAUGUACAGUGACGUACAUAGAGUCUGAGCACUGAAGCUGUCACAUCUAGCCAUUUUUCUUUUUUCUUUUGCAUUCUACCCCAAAGUUGGAUUUCUUUUACAUCGUUAUCGAUGAGAUUGUUUAUUUAAGUAAGAGCGACGUGACUUCCAGACGGCAAACUGGUUUCUUUUAUGUGUUUUUCUAAAAUAGGAGCUAGGUCAAGCUAGCCAACGAGCGGCGCAAAAGUUAGGGUCCUCUGAGCCAACGAGCCAUGACCAAGGUCCUCUGAGUGAAAUAUCUCAUGACCAUUUUCGAGUGUUCUUUGGGUUACAUUCCCACCACUCAUCUUUGGACGGCCUAUGUUCAAACCCCCUCUCAGGCAGUGCGAAGUCUAUCAGCAGUCAUGGAAGAUCUAACCGCUCCAUUAUAAUUUAUCCCUUUUUGAUUUAUAAUUGUUGGUUUAUUGCAUUUUACAUUUUUUUAAAUAAUUUAAAUUUGAGUGCGAAGAGUCGUUAAUUUAUCGUUUUGUUUCCAGAAUACAUUUAAAUAAUAAAUAUUAGUUAAUAAUAAUAAACAUCAGAGUGGUAUGCGCUGAAAUUUCUUAAUUUAUCGAAUAUUUAAUAUUUUUAAAUUCAUUCUCUCCUACGGAUUGUUGAUCUGUUGGGGUUUUCAUCCCCAAUCAUUUAAAAUUCCGCCAAGGGAAUACCACCCAUAGGCCCUGUGUCACUCUGGGACUGAGGUUCUGUUUCGCCUUCGGGCAAGCAGCAAAUUCGACUGUCUUCUCCAUCGCCUGACUGUGCAGGGCUGAGUCCCAAUGCCUUCGGCUUCUUAUGGAAAGACUAUUGUACAGGGGUUUACAUUCCCACUUUCAUUAUUUUCAGGGGUACACAAAUCCCCACCUUUCUUUACUGGCACCCAACGGACCAAGUUCCGGUUCCGGCCCAGUGUUUUAGGCCCGCCUCACAGCGCCCAUAUUUAGAGUUUUUGUCAAGUGACACCAUUCCCAACAUCUGAGAUCAACUUUCCUCAUGACAUCAUUCACCGUUAAGGGUAAUUUAAAUAAUUAUAAUACAUCUUCGAAUUGACCGUAAAAAUCUUUUUUGUAAGUAGUAGGAUACAGGCGAACCUGGUACUAGUUUUACUAAUAAAUGUAGGUUUGUUUUUUAUUUUCCCUAUAUGCUCCGCAUUCAAGCGGGGGAGUAUGUGCCGAAUCAGUGCUACUUUAGGCACGAUUUUUUUUAUUUUCUUAUUUUUACAAAAUUUUAAAUUUUUUUUAUAACUUCAAUUUUCCUCCUUCGCCCGCUGCUUUCGCCCCCAUCCAAACGGGUUCGGUCGAGUGUACCGGCAGGUUAGCUUGUUGAGCAGUAUAGUGCUCUCACCGCCGUUUCCCACCAAAUUUGCUGGGUCUAGCCGACUACAGGGCUAUCAUCAGCAACGGUAUCCACUGGCCGUCGCGUCUCGUCACGAGUUUAGCGCUACGCGUGACGAAAGUAGCCACCCUAAGCUUCCCAUGGUCACCCCAACCCCUUCUCGGAGGUGUGCUGAAGUUUGCGGUCUCUAACACGUUUUGGUGUCCUUUUUUCAAGCUCCGCCGCACGUCCCGACGCCUGGCCGGCGAAGUCUCCCAGGGCAGGUCAUUCACCGGACAUACCCCCCACCCCUCCCUGGUCCACAGCGGUCAUCGGCCAGCCGGGGCAGUGACCAACCUCAAGGCCAAAAUCCCCCCCACUUGCAAAAUGGCGGCCACCAAGUGCCGCGAUGGUCUCUGCGAGACUCCGAUCUGCAUGCCCACGCCAUCUAGCGGCGAAAGGACGAACCAGCUAUCCCCUAUCCCCUCCAGAAGAAACAGUCGACCUCACACUCAGUCGAUAGGUCGCCGGAGCCCUUUUUUUUUCUUUCGGAGCCCUUCGGAGCACUUCGGGUUUCCCGAUCCCCUCCUCCAGAGGAACAGACGACCGGACUUAAUUUUAAGUUAGCGUCCCGGCGCCAUUUUCAGGGAUUUUGAGGGCAGCUCUCGUCCAGCGCGCAUCUUUGCAACAGGUCGCAGUAACGACCAGCAGCUAUCGUGAUCCGCUUUCGGCAAUAAUGUAGUGGCUUCUGAGCCAGGCCAUGUCGCCUAGAUUUUUUUUAGUUUUUCUUAAUAGCUGCCCAAAUAGCUAAGUUUAACUUUAGUUUUUUUUUUUUGGUUUUCGCCAUAACUAUUUCUUCUAUGGCUACCGCGAGCUCCCGUGCCGCGCAUCCCCGGAUCACCCCCAGGGACAGCCACUACCUACUUCACCCUGCCAGCUAAGGCAGGGUUCCAGAAUCCCAGAGGGUUCCAGAAUCCCAGAGUACUUCAAGGACCCCAGACCAGUUCAAGAUGGCGGCCCAGUUCCGGCGCCACAUUUUGCACCUCAACAUGUAACUCGUGAGCCUCUAUAACGGAGUCUCCCUCCAUCUUUCGGCACCCCUCAAAAAGAAGUGAAGAACAGUUUAUAACUCCGCCAGUUUUAGGAUGUUUUCCAUAUUAUUAUAAAAUAUUGUAUUUUAAACACAUAUAUUUGUUUUAUGAGCCUGCGAGCUCAAUGUUCCUAAACAGUUGAACUUAGCAUAGUAUGAAAUGGUGUCCCCCCCCGGCCCCUCUUUCUUCUUUUUUUAUUCGUUAGUUACUCAAUGUAAUGUAUCAAAAAUAAGAAUCUGACAUUGUUAGCAGUUUUGUUUGUAAUGGCUGUAAUGCCGUAAGAUAUUUUAUAAUGUAAGAAACCUAUCAAUGAAAAGAUACUAAACUACUAAUCAACAGUAAAAGCCUCUAAUAAAACCAAA